rnacentral:misc_RNA from 1 species
CACCACUUGUGCUUCACCACGCGGGGUCGCUCCCUCUUGGCUCGCUUCGAGAGGGGGAGGCUUGCGUCUUUUUCACACACACACACAUAAUAUACAGUCUGGUAGUUUAGAAUAUCAAUCAAUACAACUUUCAACAAUGGAUCUCUUGGCUCUCGCAUCGAUGAAGAACGCAGCGAAAUGCGAUACGUAAUGUGAAUUGCAGAAUUCAGUGAAUCAUCGAAUCUUUGAACGCACCUUGCACCCCUUGGUAUUCCGAGGGGUACACCCGUUUGAGUGUCGUGAAUUUCUCAAACCUUCUUGGUUUCUUGAUCAAGAAGGCUUUGGACUUUGGAGGUCUUUGCCGGCUUUGCGAAAAGUCGGCUCCUCUUAAAUGCAUUAGUGGGGUCCCCUUUGCCGAUCUCUAGGCGUUGAUAAUACGUUUCUACGUCUUGGGAUUUGCUCUGUUCCUUGGGAACCUGCUUCUAACCGUCUCACCGUCGGAGACAUCGUUCGAGCUUGCUCGACCCACGAACCUUGACCUCAAAUCGGGUGAGACUACCCGCUGAACUUAAGCAUAU